CCACCUCGCGCGGAGGUUUUCUUUCCCACUCGUCAGCUCCUCUCCCCGUCACCCCCAACCCCCAAAAAAAAGUAGAUCGAUUCUGCCAUCGUCGUUACGCGAGUCGCGCCGCCGAUCCCGUCAUCGUUGCCCCCAGAUCAGUACCUGCUGCCGCCAUUGCCGUCGACCGCCAGCCGGAGUCCUGCUCGCCGUUGUUCGUUCUGAGCUCCGCGUGGUCGCUCCGUUCCCGUCGCCGUCGGCCCCCAGUCAGUACCUGCCGCCGCCGUUGCCGUCGACCGCCGGCCGAACUCACCCAUCGGCCGACCUUCCGCUCAGCAGGAGUUUCCUCAGCUCGCGCUUCACCGUCGGUUGGUCGCGCUGGACCCGCGGUAGCAAGGCGCCGGUUGUCUCUGCCGGCUGCGCCAGCCGCUGUCACUCGUGCCGGUUGCCCAGCACCGUCCCCGCCCUCUCCAAGAACAGCACAAUCAGGCCUUACGCGUCCACUCCGGCGAUCGUCUCGGCUACGCCACUUCACAUCAAUUUUGCAAAUUAACUUCACAGUGGCACUCGAUCACUGAUCACAGAUGAAUCUCUGGUGAUUUCAUUCAUUGGUAUGAGGAGCUAUGCAGGGAUGAUGGGAGCGAUUCAGCAGCCGACGCCUAUCACAACCAACUAGUUGCGGGAGAUGAGGAGGCGCCCGACGAUGUGACGUGAAGCCCCAGACCUGUCCGGAUCCCACACGCACACCGCGUGCAGAGCGCCUCUGUCCAGAUGCUGAGGGCAGGAUAUCUUCUUGCCAAGUUCCAGAUGAUGAGAUCGGUCCUCCUGCCAUCUUGUCGAACCCAUUCUUACUGACAAGCUGGAGGUGAUGAACAGAAGGCCAACAAUAAUGGGACGUGAAUCCCCCAAUCUCUGCUAACCCAAACACCGCAUUUUCUCCAAACCAAAGCUUGGUGCUUUUUUACUUCUCUAGGUGUCAAAUUUGCAAUUUGGAUUUCAGGAAGUAAACUGUAACAAUUUGUUUGGUUAGGUUGGAAAGUUUGGCCUGUUUCACUGAAAAACAUUGCAUUGUUUAAAAUAUAUAUUGUUCACCAUUGAAUAA